UUUUUUGUUCUCCCAUCCACUUUUAAUUUGCGAUAUGUUUGUUCAUUUAUUUUUAUUGGUUUUGUGGUUGUGUAGGCGAAUGUGAAGAAGGUCCUAAGAGUGAGCUUCAUAUGUGCUUUCCGUGGAUUCUGGGUUCGGUGUUUCUUUUAUGCUGCUGCAAUAUACCGACUUGUAUUGCCAUCUUCCUGAGCUGCAGAAAGAAGAAAAAAAACUAUUCCCCAUCUGCACUGAAAAGAAAUCGUGACGCAUCUCAAAAGGUACCAUUGCGUUCCAUGGAGCGGCUGAACUCAGACUUAGAUGAGGAAGCUGAUGAACUCUCACCUAUGGCAGACACCGACAACGGGUCUCCUCACCGUCACAAUGAGAACUCUUUACAUGAAAAGAAGAACGGGCAAUCUGUAGCGUUAAGGAUACCUUCGAAAAGCACACCCGUCCGAGGGACAACAUUAUCAACAUCAGAAGCAUGAUAGUUUUGUGUGUGUGUAUAUAGCGUGACUACAUUUUUUUAAGUAACAGCAUUCCAGAACUGAAAUUAACCAGUUUAACCCGGUGCUUGAUUGUCACUAGUUGAGAUGGCGAGGGAGCCCUUCAGCCUUCUUGAUCAAUUCCCAACCAGCCCAUUGUCACUGAUGAUACACAGUACUAUACAUGCACAGGUCAAGACAGGCAUGUGUGACCUCAGCUAGAGGUCAGAGGUCAUCCAUCAGCAUCCAGAGGCCGAGAGCAAGGCAUCUAUCUAUUGGUCUAUUGAUGGAGAGCUAAUGAUGACAGAUUGGUGAUUAUCACUACUAAGGAUAAAUGCUGUACUGAAGGAUAUUUGGUUCUGACUUAUAUCAGUACAAAGAAACAUGCAAUCCCUUUUAUGGUCUAGUCAUCAAAGUCUGGGUUAUCUAGGCAGUGGAAAUUUUCUUUCAGAAGAAAAUAAUCUACGGAUAGCAGGCCAUUGAUAAUAUCUCAUUAGUGUUAAGUGUGAAGUAAAUUUACCAUGAUGUUUUUAUUAUUUUAGGAGCUAUUAGAAAUGAAGAGUAUGAAAGUGACAGUGUGGCAUGAUUUCAACGAUAAUGAGUGCCCUUUUUUUGAAAAAUGUUUAAUUUCAAUAUCCCUUUUGAGCACCAUUUCCUAGUACAUUAAAACUUGCCAGUGUUUAGGAAUUAUCUUACAUGCCUGAUCCAACAUCACGAUUUUGCUGAUAAUUGUCAGAUGAAAAUAAUAUAUUGUAUCUAGUACUUUUUGUAAAGCGAGAAUAAGAUGUUAAAAAUUAUUUCAUUUUGUGUAUAUAUGAAUAUUAUGUUUGAAAUUUUUUUUUGCCUGUACUGCAUUCUUUUUUUGUAGAAAUGAUAUUGCAAUUUGUGAUUAUUAAACAACAGGAAUGUACAUGUACAUAGAAUAUGCUGUAUACUACAUGUAUGAUUUGUACAUAGAUAUAUAAAUUUUGGUUAUUUAUUUCAGUUCUAACAUUUUAUAUGUGUAUUUACUGUAAGUUUGCCAAAUUCCAUGUGUUUUUUUCUCUUCAGUUUAAAAAAAAAGUGCUAACAGAGCUUGAUAUCUUCCUCUGCUCUGUACGUUCGAUUAACAAGAAAAUGUUGGUUUGAAAUGAGUAUUUACCUGGCACUCAUUUUGAAAUUCCAUUGAGUAAUCCAACUGCAUGUAUUUCACAUUAUCUGUUACUGAUCAACUAUUUGGUGAACUAUUGCACUUGAAAUAAUACCCCUGGAAGUGCUAUUCUUGAUGUACUAUUAUCUCAGUAGUAUUAAAUAUUAUUGUUCCACUGUUAUCCCGGGAUUCAGCAUCCGUAUGGAAACCCAUUAACACAUUAAGUUCCAACAUCAUUUUUUCCAUCCAAAAUUUGUAAGGAAUAUCUUUCAGAAUGAAUGUUUGCAUCAGCAUGUCUUAUUUAUUUUUUGUUUUGUUAAUGUAUAUGUAAAUUACUCAUCGUGCAAUGAUUUUAUACAUGUAGCGUCUUACAAUAGAAAAGAAGUUUCAAGUUUGAUCUGACUUGUUAUAAAGCUUGAUUUUUUUUUCAAAGAAAGAAAUCUAGCCAUGACAUGCAUGACUAUAUUUAGAUAUAAUAAUGGCUUUUAUUGAAUUUUAAUUAAUAUACUGUGUUUAUAUGUAUUGGCAUUAAAGUGCAUAAAAGUUUGGUCAGUGGUCAAUUUAUAUAUUUUUAUUUAAAUGAAAAGAGGCAUUAGCUUCUUUCAUGUAUUAAAGUAAAUUGCCUUGUUUGUUUGGAGGGGAAAUGAGAGUGGAUAGGAUGGGGAUGUGUUGUAAAGAGGAGCCAGGGAAAGAAAUUUCAACACAAUUCAUUUUUUGUAAAGGGGCCGUUACAAAGAGCUAAUAGGAUAUCAAUAUCUGAAGCAGCUGGAAGUUUUGAUGAAUAUAAUCUUUAAAGAAAAAUUCUUAAGUGUUUAUAUUUUUCUUGAAAUUACAUAAAUAUUGCUAAAAAAGCAGAAAAAAGGGCUUAUAAUAUUUAAAUUGUAUAUCUCAACAUUCAACUUUGAUUUGAAUUAUUUUCAUUUGGUAAUGAUGUUGUAGAAUAUAUGGAGUCAAUUGUUGUCUUGAUCAAGUUGUGCUUUCAUGCUCAAGGAAAUUUGCUUAGUGAUGUGAUUUGAAUUUUUCUUUAUAAUAAUGUUAUUUUGUUUUAUAUUUUCAGUUGAUUAAGGUAUCCCCCCUAUUUUUAAAUGGGAUGAAGUAGUUAUAUACAAUACUUGUAACCACUGACCAUGCACAAUUUUAAGUGCAUUUGUGAUAUGCACUAUUUAUCACUGAUGAUUUCUUUCUUUGAAAAUUAGAAUAUAAAAGUAAGAGUAGAUGAUUUUUGUGGAAUGCAAUGAAUGUAAAUAAGCAGCAGACUUGUUUGUGUACACAUUGACCAAAAUCAAACUAUAUGUAUAUUUUUGUAACAAACUGCUACAUGUAUCUUCCAACUUUGAUUCUUCUUUCUCUUCUUCGCAUUUUACUUCUUUCUUCUUUGCAAAGUGAACAAUUUUAUUUCAUGGAAAAGGAAAUAUGCAAAUUAGAUAAUGCUGUUCGAGAUUACCUAGUAUGUAGUUAAACUUGGGAUGUUUCAAGUUGUAAGUUGAAUUGUAAAUGUUUUAUUUGUGUGGACUGAAUGUUAUUGUUGCGCCAUGCAGUUAUUAUUUCCAUGACUGUUGAAGAUAUUAGUUAUUUACUACCAUCCUGUGGAUAGGCUGUAAACACAAAUAUCUUAUACAUGUAAUCUGUAUGCACAUGUUCACAUAUAGAGUAAUUGGAGGCAAUUGUAGGAUAAGUUAUACACCCAUAUUGAAAAAAAAACUUAUUUUAAUAUCAGUAACCAAUUGAGAUCACUCUCCUAAUUAACAACUAGACUGAUACAUCAUCAUAGCAAAAAUGUAAAUUGUAUACAACUAACUUUUAAGGGGAUGUAAUAGAUAACAAAAAUGUUAUUUUCCUUGGCAUAUUUCUUUUUUACUGUAACCUGUGCAAAAUAUGACAAGAUUUAUUGCUCCCAAUUUUUCAACAAAAACUAUAAUUGUCUUUUGUAUCAUUUUGAAGAAAAAGACUUAAUUUUACUGCUGACAAUCAAGAUGCCUAUUUAUGUCCUUUUAUUUUGGGAACAUAGGAGGGAAGGUAACAUUCCAUGAUUAUAAUAAAAGAACAUGUGAUUUAGUUAUUUAAGAUAUUUACACGUCAUGAUAUGAAUUAGGGUUAGGACUUUCAUAAGAAUUCUAUGUUACGAGUACUAAAAACAUUAUUACUGUCUAUCUUUUGGGGCACUUUUUAUCAUUAUACAUUGUUUACCCCACAGAUAUAUAAAGUGUGGAUUUUUUUUCUCUUUUUAAGUGUGUGAGGAAAUGGUAGAUGAAGUAAUGUUUUUUUAUAUGAAAACCAUUCCAAAUUCCCCCUGAACAUUUCAGUGACAACCAUUUAUUGAUUUUCCAAAAUAGGUGGAAAGGGGUAGUCGGUGAAACAAUUUGAAGUUGUGCACAUCAGUGGCUGUCAAUAUAAACUCUAAAAAUUAUGUUUAUCAUUUUUUGUAAAUGAAACUAGUUAUAUUUAGAAGCCUGUGUCCAUGUCUUUUGAUCCGAUAUGAAGCAUUGUUCUACUGUCACACCAAUGAAACUGACUACAAAUCAAUCAAUCUUUAAGCCUUUCAAAAUAACAUAAUACAGACAUGCCAACUGUUCCCUUUUUAGAGUAUUUGUUCCUCUUUUUUGCUAUAAACACACAAGAUCUCUUUUUGUAUGAUUUGUUACUUCUUUUUUUUUGGAUCAUGGAGUAUGUAUUAUACACAGCGUGUGACACUAGCGCCGGUCUGACAGUCCCAGACCGGUAAAAAUCACUGUCGGGCCAGUAACUUGUUGCAUGAAAAGAACAAGUAAAUUCUUGCCUACGAGCACAUGUUUAAAAGGGUGAAUUAUCAAGUUUUCAAGUAGAGUCAUUUCACAUGUUUUUUCACCGAUCUCACUACAACAGGCUGGCAAUUGUUACGUUGAGACAAAUUUUAAAAAAUACUCCUUUUUUGUCAAAAAAUACUUUUUUUCCUUAUAAGAAUACUUUGGUUGGUUGAAGAAGGUUGGCAGGUCUGAUAAUAGCUUUGAUUGGUUUGGAGUAGAUUUCAUUAGUUUCAUUAUAGCAUUAAAUUGAUAUGGCUGACCAUAAGCAUUAUACAUUACAGUUUCACCACUUGCAAGAUUUUUUUAAAAUUACAUAUUUGAUUUUUAAAAUUAAAUCCUUCCUAAUAGCCCUUUAUUUAACAAGAUCAAACAUUAGAUUAAUAAACAACAAGUGUCUUUGAGUAUUUCUAUUUCACUACCUUGAAAAUUAAACAAAAUAGGAUGCCUUUUCCAAACCAUCUUUAAUAUAUAAUCUUUGCCAGUUACUAUAUCAAUUUUUUUCUGUGAUAUAUAAUUUUUUUUAUUUCAAUCCCAACUGAACUGUAUUUCCUUUUAAUGAGAAUUUUAUCUUAGCAAGUUUUAGCAAAAGCUGCAGUUGAAAAGGAAACAAAAUUGUGUGAGAUUGUGUGUUGAUUGCCGGGAGUCUAAGAUAUUGGUAUGUAUGCAAAUUAAAAUAUGAAGUGACAAUGUUCAUGUAUCCUUCCUUAUGUGAUAUUUUUGUGUGCAUUCUUCACCAUGAAGAAAUGCAUCUAGGAAUUUAAGCAAUGUGUAAUAAAUACAUUCUGAAUGUAUGCCUAAGCAAUAA